rnacentral:rRNA from 1 species
AUGACUACCAUUUGCACACAUGACAUACUUAACAUGAUUCCUUCUAGUACGUUGCAUCUUCGCAUUACUAGCUUGCUUGCCUUGAUUCAUAUGAUUGCUUGCUUUGUCGCAUCACCCAUGUUCCAUUAUUACUUGCUUUCUUGGGUUGAUGACGUAUAUGUUCAUGCCUCUCACAUGAUACAUCUUGUGAUGCAUGCUUGCUUGCUUGCACCUAUUCUAUUUGGUUGUUCUCACAUCAUAUGCCUCCGUACUAUGAAAUCCUCCCUUGUCCUUUCUUAUGAUGAGCAUGAUGCAUCCACUUGUUGGGUAUUUUACCAGACGAAUGAUAGGUUUUGCAUCUCCGAUAACCUCAUUUGUUUUUCCAAGUUCUUGUCAUGUUCUUUCAUUUGGGAAGAUUCACAAGGCGGUGCCGUUAUGCGACAACUUGGUCAUGCGAAGGCAUACAAGAUGUGCAACACCAACAUUUGCGAGAAUACCCUAAAGGUGAACUCCUUCCCUUUGAGACAUCCUCAAAUACGCAUAUUGGAUGGAUCACUCUUUCAUUGUUGUCUCCUUCUUGGUGUCCACAUGAUACAUCUCGCGAACGGAGGAGCGACAUUGGAGAUUGGAUCCAUGGAAAUUCAAGUUGAGGAGUGCUCGGACUUAGUGGAUUCACCACCGGACCACCACUUCUACCACAACAUUGAGCUAUGUUACAACACCACCCAUAACAAAUUUGCAUCUUAUGCAUGGAUUGACUCACCUUAUGAUUGCCUUGUUGCAUCUUGUAUUUCUAUGUCAUCCAUGAUAUAUGAGCUUGUGCAUUUCCUUAGCAAAUUUGUUAUGAUCUUUCUUGAUGGAAUAUUCAUACAUAAUGAUCACAUUGCCUACCAUCAAUUGCAUGAUAACAUAAUCAUAUUGAGCAUACAUUGCCAUAUUCAUGCUAUUGAUAAACCGUCUCACUAUGACAUCAUUUUGUACCGUGGUUGCAUUGAUCACAUACACAAUACAUUUGUGUGCACAAUGAAUGCUUUUGCUCCCAUGAAUGCUUUACAUGUCAUUUUACAUCAUUUGGAUAAGCAUCUCAUGCAUUUUCAUGAACAAUUCCUUUAG